UGAGAGAUUUCUCUAUUCCUUGCCUCCCCGC
rnacentral:piRNA from 1 species